UGGGGAAUAUUGCACAAUGGGCGCAAGCCUGAUGCAGCCAUGCCGCGUGUAUGAAGAAGGCCUUCGGGUUGUAAAGUACUUUCAGCGAGGAGGAAGGCGUUGUGGUUAAUAACCGCAGCGAUUGACGUUACUCGCAGAAGAAGCACCGGCUAACUCCGUGCCAGCAGCCGCGGUAAUACGGAGGGUGCAAGCGUUAAUCGGAAUUACUGGGUGUAAAGCGCACGCAGGCGGUCUAUCAAGUCGGAUGUGAAAUCCCCGGGCUCAACCUGGGAACUGCAUCCGAAACUGGCAGGCUAGAGUCUUGUAGAGGGGGGUAGAAUUCCAGGUGUAGCGGUGAAAUGCGUAGAGAUCUGGAGGAAUACCGGUGGCGAAGGCGGCCCCCUGGACAAAGACUGACGCUCAGGUGCGAAAGCGUGGGGAGCAAACA
rnacentral:rRNA from 1 species